rnacentral:rRNA from 1 species
UACGGGGGGGGCAAGCGUUGUCCGGAAUUAUUGGGCGUAAAGCGCGCGCAGGCGGUCCUUUAAGUCUGAUGUGAAAGCCCACGGCUCAACCGUGGAGGGUCAUUGGAAACUGGGGGACUUGAGUGCAGAAGAGAAGAGUGGAAUUCCACGUGUAGCGGUGAAAUGCGUAGAGAUGUGGAGGAACACCAGUGGCGAAGGCGACUCUUUGGUCUGUAACUGACGCUGAGGCGCGAAAGCGUGGGGAGCAAACAGG